GCAUGUAAGGAAUUACCAUCUUUGGCAACAUCUAUCCCAUUGAUCGUCAGAGUUGAUGUGGCGGAUCUGGUUGGCUAAAUGAGUGUCCCUUUCCUCCCUCACUGCUCCAUGUGCAUUCUCCCAAAGAUGUGUGCUCGGUCAAAGGGGAAAACCUUCCCUGAUAGAAGAGAGGACUGUUGUUCAGUCAAGGGUAUAGGAGUAGCCUUGCUCCCCUGCUAGAACCUCCAAGCAAGCUCUUGAGGUCCAUUUGUAGAAAAACAUGGGGUAGCCAAGCUUCUAAGACUCCAGACACAUCCAAAUGAGGUGCUGCAUGUGUCAGUCUUAAAAAUUU
ensembl:misc_RNA 7SK 7SK RNA